CUCAGCAAACAGCACACCAGGAGAUUAUAUCCCGGCCCUGGCUCAGCGGGUCCCAUGCCCACAGAGCCUUGCUCACUGCUAGCACAGCAGUCUGAGAUAGAACUGCAAGGUGGCAGACUGGCUGUGGGAGGGGCAUUCGCCAUUGCUGAGGCUUGAGUAGGUAAACAAAGCAGCCAGGAAGCUUGAACUGGGUGGAGCCCACUGCAGCUCAAGGAGCCCUGCCUACCUCUGUAGACUCCACCUCUGGUGGCAGGUCAUAGCUGAACAAAAGGCAGCAGAAACUACUGCAGGAGCUCCUGUAGGGCAGGCCUGGUGGUGACAAAAAUCUCUCAGUAUUUCCUUUUCUGUAAAGGAUUUUAUUUCUCCUUCGCUUAGGAAACUUAGUUUGUCUGGAUAUGAAAUUCUGGGUUGAAAAUUUUUUUAAGAAUGUUGAAUAUUGGCCCCCACUCUCUUCUGGCUUGUAGGGUUUCUGCAGAGAGAUCUGCUGUUAGUCUGAUUGGCUUCCCUUUGUGGGUAACCCAACGUUUCUCUCUGGCUGCCCUUAACAUUUUUUUCCUUCACUUCAACCUUGGUGAAUCUGACAAUUAUGUGUCUUGGGGUUGCUCUUCUCCAGGAAUAUCUUUGUGGUGAUCUCUGUAUUUCCUGAAUUUGAAUGUUGGCCUGCCUUGCUAGGUUGGGAAAGUUCUCCUGGAUAAUAUCCUGAAGAGUGUUUUCCAACUUGGUUCCAUUCUCUCCAUCACUUUCAGGUACACCAAUCACACAUAGAUUUGGUCUUUUCACAUAGUCCUAUAUUUCUUGGAUGCUUUGUUCUUUUCUUUUCACUCUUUUUGCUCUAAUCUUGUCUUCUUGCUUUAUUUCAUUGAGUUGAUCUUCAAUCUCUGAUAUCCUUUCUUCUGCUUGAUUGGUUCAGCUAUUGAUACUUGCGUAUGCUUCAUGAAGUUCUCCUGCUGUGUUUUUCAGCUCUAUCAGGUCAUUUAUGCUCUUCUCUAAACUGUUUAUUCUAGUUAGCAAUUCAUCUAACCUUUUUUCAAGGUUCUUAGCUUCCUUGCAUUGGGUUAGAACAUGCUCCUUUAGCUCGGAGGAGUUUGUUAUUACCCACCUUCUGAAGCCUACUUCUGUCAAUUCAUCAAACUCAUUCUCCAUCCCAUUUUGUUCCCUUGCUGGUGAGGAGUUGUGAUCCUUUGGAGGAGAGGAGGCAUUCUGGUUUUUGGAUUUUCAGCCUUUUUGCACUUGUUUCUCCCCAUCUUCGUGGAUUUAUCUACCUUUGGUCUUUGAAGUCAGUGACUUUCCGAUGGGGUCUCUGAGUGGACAUCCUUUUUGUUGAUGUCGAUACUAUUCCUUUCUGUUUGUUAGUUUUCCCUCUAACAUUCAGGGCCCUCUGCUGCAGGUCUGCUGGAGUUUGCUGGAGGUCCACUCCAGAACCUGUUUGCCUGGCUAUCACUAGCGGAGGCUACAGAACAGCAAAAAUUGCUGCUUGUUCCUUCCUCUGGAAGCUUUGUCCCAGAGGAGCACCCACCAGAUGUCAGCCAGAGCUCUCCUGUAUGAGGUGUCUGUCGGCCUCUACUGGGAGGUGUCUCCCAGUCAGGAUACACGGGGGUCAGUGACCCACUUGAGGAGGCAGGCUGUCCCUUAUCAGAGCUUGAACGCUGUGCUGGGAGAUCCACUGCUGUCUUCAGAGCUGCCAGUAACAGAAGACAGAAUAAUGAGUAGCAGUAGCAAGAUUACUGGAAUAAAGAGAGUGCUAACUGUCUGCUACAUGAGGACUUGAGGAAAACAUGGUAUUCUCCUGGAGGAGUACUGGGUGUUGAAUCAGAAUAAGGAGAAUUCUAAGUGCAGCCCUUUCAUUAACAGAUCAGCGACGGAAAAAUCAUUUAAACUCUGAGCUCAAUUUCCCCAUAUAUCAGUAAGGGGCGGGAUAACCAUUCCGUCUAAAGCACUUUGGGACCUAAAAUUAGAUCAUGAACGUGUAAACAGCAAAGCAUUUCACAAUAAAUGCCUUUUGUUUACAGAAAACAAGAACGCUCUGUUUCCUGAUGAUAUAGGAUCAGGAAGUGAUAAUAUUAUCAUGUUGGCCCCUGUCACACCAUCAUUAGAUCCUGGCUCUGGCUGGACACAAAAUAAAGA
rnacentral:lncRNA from 1 species